rnacentral:rRNA from 1 species
UACGGAGGGUGCAAGCGUUAUCCGGAUUUACUGGGUUUAAAGGGUGCGUAGGCGGGCUUUUAAGUCAGUGGUGAAAUCCCGAAGCUCAACUUCGGAACUGCCAUUGAUACUAUUAGUCUUGAAUAUCGUUGAGGUAGGCGGAAUGUGUCAUGUAGCGGUGAAAUGCUUAGAUAUGACACAGAACACCGAUUGCGAAGGCAGCUUACUAAACGAUGAUUGACGCUGAGGCACGAAAGCGUGGGGAUCAAACAGG